rnacentral:misc_RNA from 1 species
GAUGAAGAACGCAGCGAAAUGCGAUACGUAGUGUGAAUUGCAGAAUUCAGUGAAUCAUCGAAUCUUUGAACGCACAUUGCACCUCUCGGUAUUCCGGGAGGUAUGCCUGUUCGAGCGUCAUUUGUACCCUCAAGCUCUGCUUGGUGUUGGGUGUUUGUUCCGCCUCUGUGUGUGAACUCGCCUCAAAACAAUUGGCAGCCGGCGUACUUGUUUCGGAGCGCAGCACAUUUUGCGAUCCAGAUCAACGUACAGCGGCAUCCAAGAAGCCUUAUUUAACGCUCUUGACCUCGGAUCGGGUAGGGAUACCCGCUGAACUUAAGCAUAUCAAUAAGCGGAGGA